GAUUUAGUCACCUAUGAUGACGUGCAUGUGAACUUCACUCAGGAAGAGUGGGCUUUGCUGGAUGCUUCUCAGAAGAGUCUCUACAAAGGUGUGAUGGUAGAGACCUAUAGGAAUCUCACAGCUAUAGGUUACAGUUGGGAAGAACAUACAAUUGAAGACCAUUUCCAAACUUCUAGAAGUCAUGGAAGGUAA
rnacentral:lncRNA from 1 species